UAAAAUAACAAUACAUAUCCAGUAUCAUUGGCUGUCUCUGUUUCGCCAACACUUUGACGGUCUCUCUAAGCUGGUAGAUAGAUAUUGGACAACUUAAGUUCCGCUGUGGGGAUGACCUAUUUUCUAUAGCUUUACUGUGGUUCGAACAAGC
rnacentral:snoRNA from 1 species